rnacentral:misc_RNA from 1 species
GAAAUGCGAUACGUAAUGUGAAUUGCAAAUUCAGUGAAUCAUCGAGUCUUUGAACGCACAUUGCGCCCCCUGGUAUUCCGGGGGGCAUGCCUGUCCGAGCGUCAUUUCUGCCCUCAAGCAUGGCAUGUGUGUUGGGCCCCGUCCUCCGAUCCCGGGGGACGGGCCCGAAAGGCAGCGGCGGCACCGCGUCCGGUCCUCGAGCGUAUGGGGCUUUGUCACCCGCUCUGUAGGCCCGGCCGGCGCUUGCCGAUCAACCCAAAUUUUUAUCCAGGUUGACCUCGGAUCAGGUAGGGAUACCCGCUGAACUUAAGC